rnacentral:rRNA from 1 species
GAUGAACGCUAGCUACCGGCUUAACACAUGCAAGUCGAGGGGCAGCAUGGUCUUAGCUUGCUAAGGCCGAUGGCGACCGGCGCACGGGUGAGUAACACGUAUCCAACCUGCCGUCUACUCUUGGACAGCCUUCUGAAAGGAAGAUUAAUACAAGAUGGCAUCAUGAGUCCGCAUGUUCACAUGAUUAAAGGUAUUCCGGUAGACGAUGGGGAUGCGUUCCAUUAGAUAGUAGGCGGGGUAACGGCCCACCUAGUCUUCGAUGGAUAGGGGUUCUGAGAGGAAGGUCCCCCACAUUGGAACUGAGACACGGUCCAAACUCCUACGGGAGGCAGCAGUGAGGAAUAUUGGUCAAUGGGCGAGAGCCUGAACCAGCCAAGUAGCGUGAAGGAUGACUGCCCUAUGGGUUGUAAACUUCUUUUAUAAAGGAAUAAAGUCGGGUAUGGAUACCCGUUUGCAUGUACUUUAUGAAUAAGGAUCGGCUAACUCCGUGCCAGCAGCCGCGGUAAUACGGAGGAUCCGAGCGUUAUCCGGAUUUAUUGGGUUUAAAGGGAGCGUAGAUGGAUGUUUAAGUCAGUUGUGAAAGUUUGCGGCUCAACCGUAAAAUUGCAGUUGAUACUGGAUAUCUUGAGUGCAGUUGAGGCAGGCGGAAUUCGUGGUGUAGCGGUGAAAUGCUUAGAUAUCACGAAGAACUCCGAUUGCGAAGGCAGCCUGCUAAGCUGCAACUGACACUGAGGCUCGAAGGUGCGGGUAUCAAACAGG